AAAACCUUACAAUGGCUUCUCUAUUCGUUUUUUAUAUCCCUCUGUGUGAAAAAAAACCAAUAAAAAUAAAAUAAAACUAGAGAAAAACCCCUUUGUCUCUCUGCUAUGUUUUUUGUUUUGUUUGCAGGUGUGGCGUACAGGUGGUGGAUGUGGCGUGUACGGAGGCCAGCUGGAGGCGCGUGGAGCGCUUGACACACGCGGAGGUCUUGGCUGCUGCGGCACUGGGAACUGGGUACUGCUAGGGUUUCGGUGGAUUUUGGGCCUGGGAUAAGUUAGGUUUGGGCCAGUAAUUGGUUAUUGGGGUAGAUUUUGUAAUUUGGGUUGCUAGGGUGUAUUGGGUUAGUGAUUUGGGCCCAAAUUUUGUAAUCUGGACUGUUAUUAGACCAUUUAAUUUUAAAUUUUUAUUUAGUUUAUUUUACUAACGGGCCGGGCAAAUUAGGUAUUACACUUAUUUUAUCUCAUACUGUGAACUACUUGUUAAAAUGUUGUUUAAGUUUAGUUUAACAUUAAUUGACUAGUUUGCUUAUUUGUUUGUGUAUCUGUGAAUAUGUUUGACUAUUUGUCUGUUUUUUUUUUGUGAACACAUUCAUUUAGUGCAUGCGAACAGGAUUAAUUAGUGUUUCACGAACAUGUUUUUUUACUGCUUGUGUGAUAGGCCCAAUUUGCCCGGCCCAUAAUAUAAAAAUCCAAUCCAAAUUGAAAAAAAGUAAUAAAAAAAUAAACCAAACAAAAGGUUAAUAACAGUCCACAGUCCAAAUACAAUGGCCCAACGUGGCCCAAAUCAGUUAACCUAGCCCAAGCUUAUACCUAACUACACCUGGCCCAAUCACUAGGUGGCCCGAAAACUAAAAGAAACCCUAGCAUCAGCCCUCCUUCCAGAGCCGCAGUCGAACCCAAGGCUUCCCCCCCGCGUGCUGCGCCUUUACGCGCGUGCAUCUCCUCUGCACACGCUUUCGGCCUACCCCUGCACACGUGACAGGCCUCCAUACACUUGCGCCUCUACCUCCGUACCUCCAUGUCGACCUCUGCCCUCGUACACCUGCAAAUGGGACUCAAACAACGCAACAAAAAAGCAAAAAACUGUAUUUUUUCAUAUUUCAUUUUUGUUCACUUUUUCGGCCUAUAAAGGAAAAGGCCGGAACCAUUUUGUAGAAGGGUUUUUCUUAGAGGCAAAAAUACAAAAAAAAAACAACGAAAGCAAUCAAAAAGAAAGUUUACUAAAGGUGACUCCUUUUUCUUUUUACUCUUUUCGACUUCUUCGUGUUUUAUAAAACAAAAGAAGGGGAGGAAGGCUUACCUGGGUGUUAGUGUCGACUGAAACCUCGCUCACUCCGCCUCAGUAGGAGUUUAGACGAGGGCUGUGAGGCCAGAAAUCGGCGGAGCCUUCGGUGUUGUGAAACUAGGAUUGAAACCCUAGCGCAGACGUGAGGAGGCGGCGGCCUUCUUUUUUAUUUUUUUUUCUUUCUUUGUUAAGCAACUGAGUUAUUUUUUUAGAGGGUUUAAAUAGUGAAAUCGCACGGCAUCGUUUUGAGCUAGGGUUAACAGCCCUCAAAACGGUGCCGUUUAAUCUUAACUCGAUGACCCAACCCGGAGGCGGCUGAGAUCCGC
rnacentral:lncRNA from 1 species